ACCGGAGGAAGGUGGGGAUGACGUCAAGUCAUCAUGCCCCUUAUGACCUGGGCUACACACGUGCUACAAUGGGCAGUACAACGAGAAGCGAACCCGCGAGGGUAAGCGGAUCUCUUAAAGCUGUUCUCAGUUCGGACUGCAGGCUGCAACUCGCCUGCACGAAGCUGGAAUCGCUAGUAAUCGCGGAUCAGCACGCCGCGGUGAAUACGUUCCCGGGCCUUGUACACACCGCCCGUCACACCAUGGAAGUCUGCAAUGCCCAAAGUCGGUGGGAUAACCUUUAUAGGAGUCAGCCGCCUAAGGCAGGGCAGAUGACUGGGGUGAAGUCGUAACAAGGUAGCCGUAGGAGAACCUGCGGCUGGAUCACCUCCUUUCUAAGGAA
rnacentral:rRNA from 1 species